AUGGAGAUAUUUUCUUCGGUCGUAGAAGGAUAUUUCCAGAGAUUUUUAGAGAAGGUUAAGAUGAAGGUUUUGCAGAGAGAGAAAACGGAAUCAGGGUUGAAGCUGAAGAGUCUAGUAUCCACUAGUCCUCUUGGUGUAAGUCCAAUCUCUACUUGGCUUACCUUUCGAGCCCAAUCUUUACUUGGGUCAUCUUUCAAAUCCAACUUCUACUUGGUAUAUCUCUUGAGUCCAGUUUUAUCUGACACCCUUUGAUCCAGUAGAGCUUCUCCACUAGGAAUCAAAUCCAAUUAG